rnacentral:sRNA from 1 species
GAACAAAUUUCUUGGUAAUCAAAUUGGUAGUGUAAGCGAAUUCGAACGGAAUUACUAAACCGACUUUAUUGGUAAGAUUUAUUUUAUUACCACCUUGCGAAAACACUUACAAGUAAGUGGAAUGGAUGGGUAAUCAUUUGCGAAAGCCAAAAUAUUGACUCUGCCUGGGUGUAAUAGAAUAACCAGUUUCCAGAUCUCCUCUCCCAUAAUAAAGGGCAUGUCCUUGGCAUAUAUAUGCACUUUGUAGCCGAUAUUCGCCACAGUGUGGGCCACAAUUUACGGCGGUCUGGACAUUUACGAGGCUCGGCUUAGACACAUUGUGCGGCAAAAUGUGGCCGCAAUCCAGAAUCCCCAUCGGAGGCCAGCCUUUUCAAUUAAAAACUGGAAAUAAAUUGCGACCGCAGCGGCGUAAAUAAAUAUUGACAUUUAUGUUUAGCGAGCUUCCCCGAAGAUUGCUUUGCCAAUAAUGUGGCACAGAGAUUCGUAGACUAUAAAAAGCCUAAUUAACACCUCUGUCCCUCCACCGAUCUUCGGAUAUGCCAAUCCUCCUCCACCUCCAGCUCCUCACAUUUGAGAUGCAUUAAAGAGUUGCCACCACA